AAAACGACUCUCGGCAACGGAUAUCUCGGCUCUCGCAUCGAUGAAGAAACGCAGCGAAAUGCGAUACUUGGUGUGAAUUGCAGAAUCCCGCGAACCAUCGAGUCUUUGAACGCAAGUUGCGCCCAAAGCCUUUUGGCCGAGGGCACGUCUGCCUGGGUGUCACGCAACAU
rnacentral:rRNA from 1 species